GGGGAAUAUUGCACAAUGGGCGAAAGCCUGAUGCAGCAACGCCGCGUGAGUGAUGAAGGUCUUCGGAUUGUAAAGCUCUGUCUUUUGGGACGAUAAUGACGGUACCAAAGGAGGAAGCCACGGCUAACUACGUGCCAGCAGCCGCGGUAAUACGUAGGUGGCAAGCGUUGUCCGGAUUUACUGGGCGUAAAGGGUGCGUAGGCGGAUGUUUAAGUGAGAUGUGAAAUACCCGGGCUUAACUUGGGUGCUGCAUUUCAAACUGGAUGUCUGGAGUGCAGGAGAGGAGAACGGAAUUCCUAGUGUAGCGGUGAAAUGCGUAGAGAUUAGGAAGAACACCAGUGGCGAAGGCGGUUCUCUGGACUGUAACUGACGCUGAGGCACGAAAGCGUGGGUAGCAAAC
rnacentral:rRNA from 1 species